rnacentral:rRNA from 1 species
AGGAUUAACGCUGGCGGCGUGCAUGAAACAUGCAAGUCGAGCGCGGUGUGAUGCGGGGUAACCCAAUUCACAUCUAGCGGCGAACGGGUGAGUAACACGUGAGCAACCUACCUUUGAGUUGGGGAUAGCCCUGGGAAACCAGGAUUAAUACCCGAUGUGGUCACAACAGGACAUCCUGAUGUGAGUAAAGGCGCAAGCCGCUCAAUGACGGGCUCGCGGCCUAUUAGCUUGUUGGUGGGGUAACGGCCUACCAAGGCGAUGAUGGGUAGCUGGUCUGAGAGGACGAUCAGCCACACUGGGACUGAGACACGGCCCAGACUCCUACGGGAGGCAGCAGUUAGGAAUUUUCCGCAAUGGGCGAAAGCCUGACGGAGCAACGCCGCGUGAGUGAUGAAGACCUUAGGGUUGUAAAGCUCUGUCGGAGGGGAAGAACACAAUGACGGUACCCUCCAAGAAACGCCCCGGCUAACUACGUGCCAGCAGCCGCGGUAA